rnacentral:rRNA from 1 species
UUUGUCCCUAUCUGCCGUGGGCGUUGGAAGAUUGACGGGGGCUGCUCCUAGUACGAGAGGACCGGAGUGGACUCACCUCUGGUGUACCGGUUGUCACGCCAGUGGCAUCGCCGGGUAGCUAUGUGGGGAAAGGAUAACCGCUGAAAGCAUCUAAGCGGGAAACCUGCCUGAAGAUAAGUCUUCCUGGAGGCUUUGACCUCCCUGAAGAGUCGUUCGAGACCAGGACGUUGAUAGGUUGGAUGUGCAAGCGCUGUGAGGCGUUGAGCUGACCAAUACUAAUUGCUCGUGAAGCUUGAUCCU